rnacentral:rRNA from 1 species
AUGACGAUCAUGAGCUGGAACUGUCGGGGCCUCGGGCAACCUCGUACAGUUCAAGAACUAGUGUGUCUCAUACACACUUAUAAGCCCAAGCUCGUCUUCUUGACUGAAACCCGGCAGAACAAUAAGUAUGUUUCGAAUCUGAAAUGGAGGCUAGGCCUUCGUCACUGUAUCAUGCAACUCGGCACCGGAAAGAGUGCCGGCAUUGCUCUCUUUUAUGAUGAAUCUGUGGAAAUAAAGAAGAUUGCCGGGGGGGCGAGGUAUAUUGAUGUGUUGAUCCGUCUUAGUCCACACAGCUCUCAAUGGAUAGGAACUUUUGUUUACGGUGAACCGAGAGCUCAUGAGCGUCAUCACAUGUGGACAUUAUUGAGAAGAAUUAAGGACAACAGUAAUAUGCCUUGGCUAAUGGCGGGUGAUUUUAACAAGACCAUGUGGCAGUCUGAGCACUUUUCGGCUGCUAGAAGAUCAGAGAGAUACAUGGAGAAUUUUAGAGAGGUCCUGUCGGAAUGUGACCUUUUUGAUUUUGGAUACAGAGGGCCUGGGUAG